UUUUUACAUAAUAGCAGUGAAGGGCUGUCCCUUUGUCUACCUGAGGAACUGUAUAUUUUGUCCGCUUUUAUUGUCUGUCAUGUUCAUAGUGUAGUCUGAUCUAUGUACAUAAUGCAUGCAGUACAUACCUGCGAAGUUCGUUCGUGAGCUGAGCCUGGGCCUGCCUGUGAUUUGAAUUGGAUUGGGGAACUCAUUGGCAUCAGUCCUGGGGGUCCAGUAAAGAGUGGAGGAAAGAAGAAGAAGAAAUCGGCCGUGUCUCCAAAGAUAAUUGCCCUCCUUCGUGGAAUCGUAGAGUUCGAAUCUGACUGGAAAACAGAGUAGCAGACAUCCAGCUCUCAUUUUUUAUGCUUCUGUCAAUUUGUUUUGAGAUGUGCUUUAUUAUGCACGAUUUUUAUUGUGACGAAUACAUGGAUGAGACAAUGUGAUGUAAGAAACCUGUAAAUUUCUAUUAUUUGUGCCUCAUCUUGAAAGCCUUUUCUCAACAUCCCCAACAUAAUGCAAAUAAAAUAUAUAUAAGUAUUAGUAUAGUAUAGGAUGUAUGCAUCCAGAUGUGAAAGGCUUUGAUUUUUGGAAAGAGCCAAGAUAGUCCUUGCCAAGGAACAAAGUGAGUUUUUUAGAUUUUGUUGGUAAUGUAAGAAAACCUCAGCAGGUCCUAUUUAUAAUUUUAUACCUAUAUAAUUUGUAUAUUUGUUCUUUUGAAGGUUGUUUAUAGUGUUUUCUUGAUGAUAUAUGCUACAGUAUGCAAACAUUAUACCAUGUUGGUGUUUACCCUGGUCAACUUUAUAUACAGGGUGUCCCAUGAACAAUGCCUGACACACUUCUGAUAGCACACAGAUCAACUUAUUAAUACCAUUGGUAAGAGCAACAUUUCCUUAAGGCCCUGUCACAUUAGGCUUGCAUGUGACUUGCAAGGAAAUUUGUUUUGCUACCCAGGGGUCUGCGAUACUGCGAUACAACAAUAUUACAUUUUGAAAUAGUUGAGAAGAGGAUCGGUUGAAAAAUACAAAUUUUUGAGGUGCUGAGUAUGUACUAAUUUGUGUUUUCAAAGGUUGGCAGCUAUGCUAUGUACAUCAUCUUCAUCU